rnacentral:lncRNA from 1 species
GCUGUACAACGUGACCGGUCGGGAGUGACAUACAGUACUUCAGUAAGAGCAAAAAAUCAAAAAAAGUGUAAUAACAGUUUUAAGAAGUAAUACUGAAGUCGGGCACAGUUAUCAGUUUAUAUUUAGGUUUAUGUUGCCCAUUCAUUGUCAGUUAGAGACACAGUAGGACCCAAAAGCAUAAUCAGUGCUCUAACUCCCCCUUGCACUGGUCUGGAGCAAUGAAGUGGUGACGCUGGGUACCGUACUAAACUACACAUGACCUCUAAGUACUGCAGCAUAAUUGGAAAACUGUCAGUGGAGCAACCACUGUAAGCCAAACGACACUGAGGCAUUCCUAGCAGACAGAGGACGCCUUGGAUGGCUACCUGAACACUACAGGUUCUGACAGGCUUUACCUGUUGAGGUCGAACGUCGACUAGACACGUGACAAGGUUCAUUCGUCUACAACAACAACACAUGCAAAACUACUACGCUAAACUUGCCACGGCUUUGAAAAUAUAAUUCAGUGGUUCUGCGACUCGAAAACACGACAGCUCACUGGCUAACACUGUCAAACAAGCUCGGCAUGAACACUCACAAGCUUACUAUGAUAGGCUUCGUUUAGCUUACUUUGGCUUACUCACUGAAACAGGAAUGGAAGAGCUGUUACCAUUCAAACAAAUGUUUCGUCGAACAUGUAUCCCAACUUCAUUACCUACUUGGGCCCUACGGCCCACUUUGGUUUGCCAAUCUUAGAACUCAGAGAGUUUGCGAGCAUGGCUUAAGACGCAUCAAAAGUGCGCAGCACUGCGAACCCUGACAUCUCAGGUUUGAAGUUUGGACAGGAGCACUCACUCCAAUUAGAGGGUGCAUUAUCAGGUAUUGGAGCGUUGAGAGAUGACACCCAACAACUGUUUCUACCACGAAACCGCGAUACCAAUACCCACCGUGGUCGAAAUUACUAUAAAGUACGUCGCCAGCUACCGCUACCGCUACAAUCAACCUGAUCGCUACGUUCAUACACCCAACCCACACAGUGUCAGAGCACAAGGGUAACAAAGGGUUCAUUGACAAUCAAAACAUAGAUUGAUGUGCUCUAGACGUUCUAAUACGUAAUAAGUACUAAAGUGAGAAAUCUGAGAAAAGGGAAAAAGUUAAAUCACUAUGACUAGGUGUGGAAUUGCCAGACAAUAGGUCCUCCAGAAUUAACACCCUUAGCAAGGUUGUAAACAUUCAAAUUAUCCCCGCUCUCACUCGAGACCCUAUCCAGGGUAUCACUUAGAUUGCAACACGUGGAAGGGAAUCUCCAAAACAUUCUCCUGAUGGUUAACACACAUGCCACUAAUAAAUGGACCCCUCCAUUCAGGAGGAACAUUAUUAGAAGUCAUGAACCAUGAUCACACCGCGUACGACUGGUUCAGUGCUUCUAGAGUACUUCCGUCGUGAUGUUAGCUCCUCUGUGGAUAACAUAGCUAUGAAAUAGACUCCUUCAUACCUACCGCCACUACAAUGGUGUAAGACACAGUGACUUGUAGUAAAAUUACUACAGGUCCCCUUAACAUAUGUCUUGAGGUCGGCAUCAAUUGUUACUGACCUCCAGGCAUUGACAUGGAAAUUAUCUGAUGACGUCAGACUCAUUCUGAACAGGUUGCAGCUACCAAGAUACUUGGUUUUCUUUCCCUUGGCAUGUGCGCUUGUGUAAGCAUAAACACACACGUACAACAGAACAUUUAAUGAGCAAAAUACCAGCCUUAGGGUACAUUUUCAACUUUACUGAGGCCUUUGACUCUACAGCUACAGUACUCACCAGUUUCUCCCCAGAGGUCCAUAGGUCAUCCCUUUAGACUGUCCGAAGCUAGUGCCAUACAGCUGUAGACUUAUCAUGUAGUUAUCAACUUAGGAUAGUGUCCUAGAACAACACACCGCUAAGUAGGAACGCCCUAGAUAUGACAUUAGACACAAUGCCAUUAUAGUCAUUUGCCAAGACCUUGGACAUAUAUAGAAUACAGUCCAAUUAGAUGAUUAAGUUGUGGUAACUAUAUCUUUUUUAAUGCUUUUAUUAAUUUUUGUUUCAUUUUCUUUGACACUUAGGAAGUGAUAGAGCCAUUAACAAGUUUCCCAUAUGACCAUCAGUUAGUGCCACAACACUGCUCAUUUGGGAAAGAAAUUGAAUUAUGUAUUUUAUGAGUGUGUGUACCUCUCUCUGGGGUAGGGGGCAGUAUUUUGACAUCUGGAUGAAAAGCGUGCCCAAAGUAAACUGCCUGUUACUCAGGCCCAGAAGCUAGGCUAUGCAUAUAAUUGGUAGAUUUAUAUAGAAAACACUCAAGUUUCUAAAACGGUUAAAAUUAUGUCUGUGAGUAUAACAGAACUGAUAUGGCAGGUGAAACCCUGAGGACAAACCAUCCCAAAAACAAAACAUUCAGCUUACCACUAUUUUCAAUGGCUAGUUCUAUAAUUAUAUGCCCAAGUCCUCCCAAAUUGCAGUUCCUAGGGCUUCCACUAGAUGUCAGUCUUUAGAAAGCGUUUCAGGCUGGUUUUUGGAGAAAUAGCUCAAAUUGUAGUUUUUCUAGGUGGCUCCCAUUUUGGCUGUAGUGUUUCCAAGUGCAUGGAGGAAAGCACAUUCUUUCUUAUUUAUCUCCGGUAAUGAACAUACUAUUCUCCGUCUUAAAUGUUAUCGUUUAUUUGCGUAGUAGGAUACCUAAGGUUUGAUUAUAAACGUUGUUUGACUUGUUUGGAAAAGUUUAUUAGUAACGUUUGGGAUUCAUUUGUAUGCAUUUUGAUGGAGGGAAACUGAGUGGAUUAUUGACUGAAGCGCGCCAGCUAAACUGAGUUUUUAUGGAUAUAAAGAAGGACAUUAUCGAACAAAGGACCAUCUGUGAUGUAACUGGGACCUUUUGGAGUGCCAACAGAAGAAGAUCAAAGGACCAGUACAAUUUCUGAACAUGGAGGCACCUGGCCAAGUAAAUGAACAAGGGCAACUGCCUGCUCGAGGAAGAGGAAGAGGAAGAAGAAGAAGAGGAGGAGGAGGAGGAGUAGUAAGGGUGCGUGGUGGUGGAAUAGGGGAAGAGGCCGAGGAGCACGAAGACACCAUGCUGUCCCGGAUGAAAUUCGGGCCACAAUUAUAGACCAUGUCAUCAACCAUGGCCUCACAAUGGCGGAGGCAGGUCGCCGAGUGCAGCCUAAUGUGCCUCGCUCAACAGUCUCCUCCAUCAUCCAAACCUUUCGCAGGGAAAACAGGAUUGGAUGACAACCUUGCACGGGUGGCAGAGGAAAACUUCUCAAUGAACAACAAGAACAAGAGAUCUGUAACAUGGUGAUGGCAAAUAAUGCCAUCACAUUGAGACAGAUCCGCGCUGCAAUCCUACAAGACAAUGCCAUAUUCCAAAAUGUCAACUCUAUAAGCAACUCCACAAUAGACCGGAUAUUGAAGAAGCAUCAGAUGACAAUGAAGCAAAUUUACAGGGUACCAUUUGAGAGGAACUCUGAUAGAGUGAAAGAGCUGCGGUACCAGUAUGUACAUAGAAUAAUGGCAUUGGAAGGAAACGAGACCCAUCACAUCCUCGUGUUUGUGGAUGAAGCUGGCUUCAACCUGGCCAAGGGCCGAAGACGUGGCCGUAAUAUUGUUGGCCACCGGGCCACGGCGGAUGUCCCAGGCCAGCGAGGGGGCAAUAUAACUAUGUGUGCUGCCAUAUCUGAGAAUGGUGUGGCCACUCACAUCCCCAGUCUUGGCCCAUACAAUACACAGAAGCUCCUCAUCUUCUUGGACCGCCUUCAUUUUGAUUUGAUCCCUGAAAAUGAGAGAGGUCUCGUAGGACCUCACCUACCACAAUAUGUCAUUGUAUGGGACAAUGUGAAUUUCCACCGUGGCCCGCUCAUCAGGGCCUGGUUCACUACUCAUCCAAGGAUGGUCAUGGUGUUCCUUACUCUCCUUUCCUCAAUCCUAUUGAGGAGUAUUUCUCCGCUUGGAGGUGGAGAGUGUAUGAGCAUCGGGCUCAAGAUCAGAGGUCCCUGCUCCAUGCAUUGGACGCUGCAUGUGAGGAUAUUACAGGAGAUCAGUGUAGGGGAUGGUUGCGACAUGCACGCCGUUUCUUCCCUCGUUGCAUCGCAAGGGAGAAUAUACGCUGUGAUGUGGACGAGAAUCUGUGGCCAGACAGACAGCAGCGUGUGGAUGGCCAGGAGGGUGAGGAUGGUGGUCAGGAGAGGGAGGGUGGGGACAGCGACCAGUGAAGAACUGUUAGUUGUGAAACUCCAGCUUUAUUUACAGCACUAUAGGCUGCAUAUAAUUUUCAUUGUUUUUUGUUUGUGUGUUUAUAUUACAGUAUAUUAUGCUGUAUACAUUUUCUUUUUACUCUGAUGUAUGGAAGUUACUUUGUGUGUGAAUGAUAAUGGUUACAAUUUCCUUGGCAGUAUGAGUGCAAUGUGUGAUGUCAAACCUUGGAGGCUACUCUUACCCUAAAAUCCUAUUUCUUUUUUUCAGUUUUAUACACAAUUGUAUUCUGUUAGCUGGACAAAAAACAGUACAGUAACCAUUGUCAAUGAAUGACUGGGCUAAGAUUGAAAGGUGGACAUGAGGGAUAUUUCAAUGGUCCUCUGCCAUAGUGACAAAACAUCUAAACAUUUUGACUUGCAGUGCUUACACAAUGCCAAAGGGACUAAGCAUUUUGGGGGCACUGACUGUUUAAAUGAGAAGGAAAUUUAGUUUUGGUUAAAGCACCAAGAGUGUUGAGAACGUCCGGUCUGUUUCAAGAAAUGAGCCAAAGCAAUUGAGAAGGAUCUUUGCCAUUUUCGUGGCACUGACUCUUUAUAUGGGAAAGGAAUUUAGUUUUGAAGCAUGAGUGAACAGUUUUAGGAGAGAUAUGAGCUUUUGCAAGUGAGCUAUAGUGUUGUGCUGAACUGUAAGACUGUUUUGCCAAAUGAUCUUAGAGUUUUGAGAAUGUAAUUUCUGUUUCAAGAAAUGAGCCAAACCAAUGGAGAAAAACUGUAACAUCUGCCUCAGUUACUGCCUAGAUCUACCAGCCUGGACAACCGGAUGACUGGUCCGGAACGGCAAUUCCCAACCAGGAUAUCCCCUGGCCAUUCUUGUGGUGGUCGGCAGCUUUCAGAAAGCCUACCAGGGUAAACCACCAGAGAGGGACUGCAACGAUGAUCCACAACCAGGACAUCCCGUGGUCAUUUUUAUGUUGGGUUGCAACUUGCAGAAUCAUUCCAAGGUUGAACCCACCAGAGAGGGACUGUCAUGACUCUCUCACCUUGGUGAGGAUCAAAAGAACCCAUCAGCUAGGCAAAUGUUUGAGGAUUGGCCUGUUUUAUGACUUAAAUACCUUGCAGAAACUCUUCCUUUGGCUUCGGCAGGAUUGGAAGGCUGAAAAUCCUUUGUUACACAGAGAGACUUUGCCACCAAAAAACUGGGAAAGACGACCAAAGGGAAGGUCAGAUCCCUCUGAACACUGUGUCGUACAUCUGAAGUAUCUAACGAACACUCCAGAACAAAAGAAGCCUACAAUUAAGGACAUUAUGACCUCUGGUGGACAACCAGAGACUUACAUCGAACCACUUCCCAUAGAACCAUCGAGUUCAACAGAGAGAUGACAAAGACAUCUACGCAUAAAUGUAUACAUUGCAUUUAUUUUCCGAAUGAGCGGUUGUUCAUGUGCAAAGUAUUCAUAUUCCCAUGAGUAUAGCUUCCAAAUGUAUGUACGAUAAGUUGACUCUCUUUGUCUCUCCUUCUCCUUACAUACCCCUCCCCCUUACAUUGCGUAACCCAACGGUCAAGCUUUUGUUAGUCCACUGUUUUCAUUGUAUUAUGCAUGUAAUCAAUAACAUGUGCUGUGUGUUUACGUAUUCUGUGUGAUGAUUUAGUUAGUUAGUAAAUAAAUAAUUAAGCCAAUUUGUGUAUUGCUGAUUGAUCUCUUAGGUUAGAGUUCGUGGAGAUAUUCAAGAAUUGUGCAAUGUUCAGAAAAAGACU